UACGUAGGGUGCAAGCGUUGUCCGGAAUUAUUGGGCGUAAAGCGCUCGUAGGCGGUUUGUCGCGUCGGCUGUGAAAACCUGGGGCUCAACCCCGGGCCUGCAGCCGAUACGGGCAAACUAGAAUUCGGUAGGGGAGACUGGAAUUCCUGGUGUAGCGGUGAAAUGCGCAGAUAUCAGGAGGAACACCGGUGGCGAAGGCGGGUCUCUGGGCCGAUACUGACGCUGAGGUGCGAAAGCGUGGGGAGCAAACAGG
rnacentral:rRNA from 1 species